UCCGUAGGUGAACCUGCGGAAGGAUCAUUAAAAGAACGGGGAGGCGUGUUCUCGGUUUCUCUGGGAAUCGAGACGCGCUUCCUUUUAGUAUCCAAAUUCAUUAUUUUUUUGUCUCGGAAUCCGGCGAUUACAUGCUCGAUUCCAAAAUGUAAUAUAAACAAAACUUUCAACAAUGGAUCUCUUGGCUCUUGCAUCGAUGAAGAACGCAGUGAAGUGCGAUAUGUAGUGUGAAUUGCAGAAUUCCGUGAAUCAUCGAAUCUUUGAACGCAUAUUGCACUCUCUGGUAUUCCGGAGAGUAUGCCUAUUUGAGGGUCAUGUGAAACAUACAUUCUAGAUUUCUUAGAACAAAAUGGGUCAUCCAGAUUUUAUUUCAUGGUUACCUAAAAUACAAGACAAGCUCAUUUUUUGGGUUACGUGAUACUCGUUAUUCGUGACAUUCCGAGAAAUAUGUGGCGUGUUGUAAUUUUGCAAAAGCGAAUGGGAAUUCGUCUCUGCGAAAUAGAAACAAUUGAAUCUUGACCUCAAAUUAGGGUAGGGGGAGGUACCCGGCUGGAACUUAAGGCAUAUCAAUAAGGCGGGAGGGAAGGUCGGACUGGCCAAGGGGCACACAGGGGGGGGGAUA
rnacentral:rRNA from 1 species